GCCUUCAUAGCUCAGAGGAUAGAGCCGAAGUUUCCUAAACUUUGUGAGUCGCAGGUUCGAGUCCUGCUGAGGGCA
rnacentral:tRNA from 1 species